rnacentral:lncRNA from 1 species
AGCAUGUUCUAGAGCAUGAGAACAAAGAGAUGACUGAAAACAGUGUUUGUCCUCAUAAAGUCCCUAGUCCAGCAACAGAACUCAGUACCAGGUGGCCCGUGGCUGUCCGUCCCUCUCAGCCCAUUUGGAGGUGACUCUUGCUUCUCUCUUGAUGGAUCAGCUUUCACUGCCCACCCCCAGGGACAUGACCAAAGAGGUUCCUCCUCUCUACCCCUAAGCGAAUUAGAACUGAGAGACACUCAAAGAUUCUGGACUGUCUUCUGAGCAGAGAAUAAAAAGUAGCUAUCAUCUGCCCACCACAGACAUGAAAAAACAAGAAAGACAGUUUGCAGAGAGGAGAGAAUGAAACAGGACUGUAGAGAGAAGCAGAGACAAGAAAUGGAUCUUCCCAUCUCGUCAUGAGCUUCCACUUCCAGACCCUGUACUCAGUGGAUCAGCUGGCACCACGCAGAU